rnacentral:rRNA from 1 species
UUCCGGUUGAUCCUGCCGGAGGCCAUUGCUAUUGGGAUCCGAUUCAGCCAUGCGAGUUGUGCGGGUUCAGACCCGCAGCGAACGGCUCCGUAACACGUGGUCAAGCUACCCUGCGGACUGGGACACUCUCGGGAAACUGAGGCUAAUCCCAGAUAGCGUUUCCAGCCUGGAGUGGCGGAAACGCCAAACGCUCCGGCGCCACAGGAUGCGACUGCGGCCGAUUAGGUAGACGGUGGGGUAACGGCCCACCGUGCCGAUAAUCGGUACGGGCAGUGAGAGCUAGAGCCCGGAGACGGACUCUGAGACAAGAGUCCGGGCCCUACGGGGCGCAGCAGGCGCGAAACCUUUACACUGCGCGACAGCGCGAUAGGGGGAUCCCAAGUGCGAGGGCAUACAGUCCUCGCUUUUUCCUACCGUAAGGUGGUAGGCGAAUAAGAGCUGGGCAAGACCGGUGCCAGCCGCCGCGGUAAUACCGGCAGCUCAAGUGAUGGCCACUAUUAUUGGGCCUAAAGCGUCCGUAGCUGGCUAGACAGGUCCGUCGGGAAAUCCACCCGCUCAACGGGUGGGCGUCCGGCGGAAACCAGCUAGCUUGGGACCGAGCGACCUGAGGGGUACGUCCGGGGUAGGAGUGAAAUCCCGUAAUCCCGGACGGACCAUCGGUGGCGAAAGCGCCUCAGGAGAGCGGAUCCGACAGUGAGGGACGAAAGCUAGGGUCUCGAACCGGAUUAGAUACCCGGGUAGUCCUAGCCGUAAACGAUGCUCGCUAGGUGUGGCGCUGGCUACGAGCCAGCGCUGUGCCGUAGGGAAGCCGUGAAGCGAGCCGCCUGGGAAGUACGUCCGCAAGGAUGAAACUUAAAGGAAUUGGCGGGGGAGCACUACAACCGGAGGAGCCUGCGGUUUAAUUGGACUCAACGCCGGU